rnacentral:rRNA from 1 species
UACGAAGGGGGCUAGCGUUGUUCGGAGUUACUGGGCGUAAAGGGCGCGUAGGCGGCGCAUCAAGUCAGGCGUGAAAGCCCUGGGCUCAACCCGGGAAUUGCGCUUGAGACUGGUGUGCUAGAGUACGGGAGAGGAUAGUGGAAUUCCCAGUGUAGAGGUGAAAUUCGUAGAUAUUGGGAAGAACACCGGUGGCGAAGGCGGCUAUCUGGACCGUAACUGACGCUGAGGCGCGAAAGCGUGGGGAGCAAACAGG